UCACUCUGGCUUCUCUUCAUCGUAUGAUUCUUUCGCCUUUUACUAAAGAAUUCCGUGGAGGGGAGCAUGUCAAUGAGUCUUAAGAUAUUUUUCUGCACCCGACUUCGGUUAGGUU
rnacentral:snRNA from 1 species